rnacentral:rRNA from 1 species
AGCACGUGGUUAAUUCGAUGCAAACCGAAGAACCUACCUGGCUUGACAUCCCGGAGACCCUUAGGAACUAGGGGUGCUUCCAUCUGGAAGAAUCUGGAGACAGGUGCUGCAUGGCUGUCGUCAGCUCGUGUCGUGAGAUGUUGGGUUAAGUCCCGCAACGAGCGCAACCCUUGCCUUUAGUUGCCAGCAGUUCGGCUGGGCACUCUAAAGGGACUGCCGGUGUUAAACCGGAGGAAGGUGGGGAUGACGUCAAGUCCUCAUGGCCUUUAUGACCAGGGCUACACACGUACUACAAUGGCCGAUACAAAGGGCAGCGACACUGCGAGGUGAAGCCAAUCCCGUAAAAUCGGUCUCAGUCCGGAUUGGAGUCUGCAACUCGACUCCAUGAAGUUGGAAUCGCUAGUAAUCGUGGAUCAGCAUGCCACGGUGAAUACGUUCCCGGGCCUU